ensembl:lncRNA PVT1 Pvt1 oncogene
GGGCAGAGCGCGUGUGGCGGCCGAGCACAUGGGCCCGCGGGCCGGGCGGGCUCGGGGCGGCCGGGACGAGGAGGGGCGACGACGAGCUGCGAGCAAAGAUGUGCCCCGGGACCCCCGGCACCUUCCAGUGGAUUUCCUUGCGGAAAGGAUGUUGGCGGUCCCUGUGACCUGUGGAGACACGGCCAGAUCUGCCCUCCAGCCUGAUCUUUUGGCCAGAAGGAGAUUAAAAAGAUGCCCCUCAAGAUGGCUGUGCCUGUCAGCUGCAUGGAGCUUCGUUCAAGUAUUUUCUGAGCCUGAUGGAUUUACAGUGAUCUUCAGUGGUCUGGGGAAUAACGCUGGUGGAACCAUGCACUGGAAUGACACACGCCCGGCACAUUUCAGGAUACUAAAAGUGGUUUUAAGGGAGGCUGUGGCUGAAUGCCUCAUGGAUUCUUACAGCUUGGAUGUCCAUGGGGGACGAAGGACUGCAGCUGGCUGAGAGGGUUGAGAUCUCUGUUUACUUAGAUCUCUGCCAACUUCCUUUGGGUCUCCCUAUGGAAUGUAAGACCCCGACUCUUCCUGGUGAAGCAUCUGAUGCACGUUCCAUCCGGCGCUCAGCUGGGCUUGAGAAUCCUGUUACACCUGGGAUUUAGGCACUUUCAAUCUGAAAAAAUACAUAUCCUUUCAGCACUCUGGACGGACUUGAGAACUGUCCUUACGUGACCUAAAGCUGGAGUAUUUUGAGAUUGGAGAAUUAAGGCCAACAGAGAUUUUGAGAAACACAUUGAAGGAUCUGUUAACACUUGAUAUACCCAAUAAAAGCAGUGGUUGUGCCAGUGCUGAUCUGUCUUGAUGUGAAUGUGAACAAUGGGAACCUGAGCUGAGCAGUUAAUGCUAGGGUGACAGAAACUGGACCUCUCCCAAGACAUGUGACAGAGUAAUACAGCAGCCAACUUCUUCGCCAAAUUAAAGUUUUACAAGAUUUAACCUGUCAUCAAGACCUGGGAUUUUGGUGAGCCAGUCUUGGUGCUCUGUGUUCACCUGGUUCAUCUGAGGAGCUGCAUCUACCCUGCCCAUGCCAUAGAUCCUGCCCUGUUUGCUUCUCCUGUUGCUGCUAGUGGACAUGAGGUAACCACAGCCUAGUUCUGUGAUAAGCUCUUCACACCUGUACCCAUAUGGACUGUGGGAGAGUUUCUCUGAUAUGGACUGUGAUGCGGAAGGACAGAAUAACGGGCUCCCAGAUUCACAAGCCCCACCAAGAGGAUCACCCCAGGAACGCUUGGAGGCUGAGGAGUUCACUGAGGCUACUGCAUCUUGAGACUCAGGAUGAAGACCCAGCUUGGGGCUGUCAAAGGUUUUUUGCAUGUCUGACACCCAUGACUCCACCUGGACCUUAUGGCUCCACCCAGAAGCAAUUCAGCCCAACAGGAGGACAGCUUCAACCCAUUACGAUUUCAUCUCUGCCCCAACCACUCAGCAGCAAGCACCUGUUACCUGUCCACCCCCACCCCUUCCCCCAAACUGCCUUUGAAAAAUCCCUAACCUAUGAGCUUUGAAUAAGAUGAGUACGAACUUCAUCGCCCACGUGGCGUGGCCGGCCUCGUGUCUAUUAAAUUCUUUUUCUACUACAA